rnacentral:lncRNA from 1 species
AAUCUUAAUCUGAAUAAGGGUUCUGAACCCCACUGUCACGGCCAGAGGAUCAGCAGGCAGUGUUUUUGUUUUUGUUUUUGUUCUCUCUCUCUCUCGCUCUCUCUCGCUCUCUCUCGCCCGCAAGGGCGGAACUCAUGGUGGGUUCACGCCCUCGGCCCACGCCCCUCUGAAGAGGAAACACCUGGGCCUCAUCAGUGCAGCCAGCAUUUAAGCCAGGGAGUGGCUUCUACUCAUCGCUGGAUCGUUGUGUGUGACUCGCAUCCCCUGGACCCGACUCUGCAUUCCCCGAGCGGAUUCCCUUUUUGUGUGAGUGUUUGGAGAGAGAGUCAGAAGAGGAGCAAGUGUCUUUCCCCUACCUGGAUUUCCCCGGAGCCUUUUCCCUGUCACCGCUUUGUAUAUAGCACUAUCCCCUGCACUGUUUGUAUAUACACCUGGUGGAACUGUAAUAAAUACUGACUGUGCCUCUGAGUCCUGCGUGUGAGUCCUCAAGCGAACCGUGACACCCACACAGAUGAGAGCUUAGCAGUGAAGCUCUCUCUUAAAAUUUGAGUUAUAAAGUCAGAUUUUAUCACUGACAGAGAUCCAUGUUCUUUUAACAUAAGAAAGAAUAUUUGCUGAAAUUGACAUUAAUCCAAGCCCUUAAAACGCCAUUUUGGAUUAAGCAUUUCCUUUUAGAAAAGUCUUCAAUGAGCAGGAAGCUCCAGUACUGAAAAAGAAGCCAACAUCAACUGCUAAACAUGCUAAAAGUAAGUCCCCGUAGACUCCUAUGAUCAAAACACAUACAGUAUAAAAGUUAUAGGUUACAGAUCUGAAAAGUAAAACAAAUGUCAAAGUGCAAAAAGACUUCUGGUCCCAUAGAAGUCUAUUCCAUUUGCCUGGAAUUAGGUGAACACCUUUGUGACAAAUUUAAUGGCUCAGUCAUUUGUUUCAUGUCAUAUUUAAUAAAAGACUGACAUGGUGGCAUGUUGAAUUGUCCAUUUUGCACAUAUUUGGUCAUUCUAAGCGUCAGAAGGGGAAAGAUCAUUCUGGGAAUGCCUACUGGCGAAGGAUGUGUGACUGACAAGUCCAGUGUGUGAAGUUUAACUACAGUCUAAGGAGCUUGGAAAGAAAAGCAUCUGGACUUCUUUAAGUUUCUUGAAGAUGUUUCACCUCUCAUCUGAGAAGCUUCUUCAGUUC